UUGAGCGAUGAAGAUUGGUGCUUGCACCAAUUUGAAGAGCAGCGAACGGGUGAGUAACGCGUGGGGAAUCUGCCUUUGAGCGGGGGACAACAUUUGGAAACGAAUGCUAAUACCGCAUAACAACUUUAAACAUAAGUUUUAAGUUUGAAAGAUGCAAUUGCAUCACUCAAAGAUGAUCCCGCGUUGUAUUAGCUAGUUGGUGAGGUAAAGGCUCACCAAGGCGAUGAUACAUAGCCGACCUGAGAGGGUGAUCGGCCACAUUGGGACUGAGACACGGCCCAAACUCCUACGGGAGGCAGCAGUAGGGAAUCUUCGGCAAUGGACGAAAGUCUGACCGAGCAACGCCGCGUGAGUGAAGAAGGUUUUCGGAUCGUAAAACUCUGUUGGUAGAGAAGAACGUUGGUGAGAGUGGAAAGCUCAUCAAGUGACGGUAACUACCCAGAAAGGGACGGCUAACUACGUGCCAGCAGCCGCGGUAAUACGUAGGUCCCGAGCGUUGUCCGGAUUUAUUGGGCGUAAAGCGAGCGCAGGUGGUUUAUUAAGUCUGGUGUAAAAGGCAGUGGCUCAACCAUUGUAUGCAUUGGAAACUGGUAGACUUGAGUGCA
rnacentral:rRNA from 2 species